rnacentral:rRNA from 1 species
CAAAUGAAUUGACGGGGGCCCGCACAAGCGGAGGAACAUGUGGUUUAAUUCGAUGAUACGCGAGGAACCUUACCCGGGCUUGAAAUGCAUCUGACCGGCAAAGAGAUUUGCUUUUUCCUCGGAACGGAUGCGUAGGUGCUGCAUGGUUGUCGUCAGCUCGUGCCGUGAGGUGUCGGCUUAAGUGCCAUAACGAGCGCAACCCUCAUCGUUAGUUGCCAUCAGGUUAUGCUGGGGACUCUAGCGAGACUGCCAUCGUAAGGUGCGAGGAAGGUGGGGAUGACGUCAAAUCAGC